GAAUAUGAUGAUAGUGUUUGUCGCCCCAGUCAUACUUGCAUCUCAUGUUGCAAGAUGGUGAUUGACAGUUUAUCUGAUUC